CAUCACUACCAAUUCCCAAAAGUGUGUGUGUGCACUCAUCGUGGAUUUGAUGUAAGUAUUGGCUAGAGUUCCCACCAUAUUCCAGGGACUCUGUACUGUAGAACAAUUUGUAGCUAUUUAAUAAGACUUUACAGUGAAACAUUUUAAUAAUAUUGAAAAAUAGGGUGGUUGGUCAGGAGCGAUGUAGGUGUGGUAGGCUUCUUGGGCAGGCUCACCCGAGUCCCCUUGUAUGGGUACCUGGUAGGCCACCUCUUGGACAGAUACAGGUUGGCCGCUAGGAUGAGCAUGGGGUAGGCUUCUUGGGCAGGCUCACCCGAGUCCCCUUGUAUGGGUACCUGGUAGGCCACCUCUUGGACAGACACAGGUUGGCCACUAGGAUGAGCAUGGGGUAGGCUGCCCCAUGACGGGCGCGGGUCUGCCCCUCAGGCAGGCGCGAGAUGGCUCCUUGGAUUAGCACAGGUUGUUGAAAACCUGUGACAUGGAUUAGCCAAGGCCCAGGGCGUCAAGGCAGGCUGGUCCACAGUGAUGACAUUACAGGUUCAGUAGAUAUGGGUAGCUGGGGCAAGGGGUGGUGUAGUGUUGCCAGAGCACUGGAGCAUCGCUCCGCCAUUUCCAACAAUGGUGCUUGUUUAUGUUGGUAGCCCGAAGACGUGAUGAAUGGAGAGAAAGUCAUGCUGUUAGAGCCCGGUCCUGUUGAUGGGUGAUCAACCACUGACACUCCCUACAGUGACCCACUACACAGUCAUUCACAUGAGAAUGAAACACUUUCUGCUGUGGUAGAUGGAAAUCUGGUGCAGUACAACUGGUAAACAUCAUCCGUCUUGAAGGACCAUGAAAAAUAAGCUAAGGAACCUAGAUAGGUCAUUGGUUGGAUAGAUGUCACCAUGAGUACUUGCAAAUGACAGAGACAGUGCCAUAGUUCACCUAUUUAUUGAGGACUUGUGAUUGGACAUGGUGAAGUUGGAUUUGUGGGGUUCUGCAACAAAGGCGAGACAUCAUGAGCAGGUUGUAGAACAUACAAGGUGAUAUGGAUAAACCUAUUAAACCAAUACAUCUGAAAUAAGGAAAUAGGAAACAAACUUACUCUUAACACACACAACUGGAAAGCAACUGAGCUUGACAGGCUUUAAAUACAAACAGCAAGUGUGAACGAGCCUAUCAGGGCAGUUCUGAUCAUUACUGACAGGUGUGUGAUUGCAUGAGCGAGUCAACAGGUAAAAUCAACUUGCUUGAUCAAGUCCACCUCAGCUGUAUGCUACUCCACUCUGAGGGCUGUUGUACAUACAUCAUUGUAACCUAUCAACAACUUGUUUGUUUCUUUGGGAGUCAUUCAAAAAGCGCAACUUGAUAGUUAAGCCUACCAAUUUUUAAGUAAAUGCUCUUUUCGUUUCUCUGUGUGAUUUCCGAGCCAGUAGAUUUCAGAUCAUGGACAGUAGAUUUUACCCGGUGACAGAUGUAGAGGCAGUGAAAACUCUUAGUGUGUCUUUUCUCUCCUACACAGUGACAAUAUGCAUCACAUUGUAAAAGUAUUAGGUGUCAAGGUGCUAGACGUAAUUUGGAUUGAAUGAAAGGAAACAAGGUCAUUGCUUUUCACCGUCAGACGUAGGAACUCACCACUUCCUCUAGAGAUUAAUCAGAUCAAAGACAAUAUGAGUUACAGUGAAACUCGCAUGCAUCGCUCAUGUUUAUGCUCGAUCAGGGGCUGAGUGCACAGCACAUCAACCAAUAUGAGUCCAAGUGCAGAUAAAAGUCACAGGAGCUUAUAUAAGACACCACUGCUAUUGGCUUCUGGUUAUAACAUUUAUGUUUCAGCCUAAUAUCUCAAACAAACAGAUGUUUGUUGAGAAACGGCUGAGCAUAAAAUGGGAAAUUGAGAGAACAUUGUAGGCACACAUAUCUGUGAUCUCAAACUCAUAUUCUCUUUUUGAAAAAUGUUGUUUGAAAUGAUAUUUCUGAAGGUUAUUUGACAUUGACAUUUCAAUCAUAUAUAUAUUUAAUUCAAAUCAAACUAAAUGUAGGUUCCACUGAAUAAAUAACCAGUUAGACUACCCUGUGAAGGUAGAAAUAAGAACAACUGCCUCCAGAUUCCAUGUACAUCUACUCAUUAUCAGUUGGAAACUAUAGUAGGUAUGAAACAAGCUUCUACUGUAGCUUCUUGAGUUUCUGAGACUUGGGGACAAAACCACAUCCUGUUCUAUGUUGAGCUUGACACGGUUAUUG